rnacentral:rRNA from 1 species
GAUCCUGGCUCAGGAUGAACGCUAGCUACAGGCUUAACACAUGCAAGUCGAGGGGAAACGAUAUUGGAAGCUUUGCUUCCGAUAGGCGUCGACCGGCGCACGGGUGAGUAACGCGUAUCCAACCUGACCAUCGCUUGGGAAUAACCUUGCGAAAGUAAGACUAAUGCCCAAUGACAUUUAUAGAAGGCAUCGGAAAUGAAUUAAAGAUUUAUCGGUGAUGGAUGGGGAUGCGUCUGAUUAG